CUUUAUGGCUUUGGACACUGUCCUCCGUGUCCGUCGCGCGAAACCUAACCCCCAGGGGCGGGUCCUCGGACCCGCAAAGUGUGACUUCACUCGUCUGGCCAUGCUUGAAGCUCGCAGACUGCAAAGCUGAAUGUUGAGAAGCAGCACCGGCACUCAGGCCCGCGGAAAGUCACGUGCUAGAGUUACCUCUCUCCAGGUGGUGUCGCUGUUGCCACACGCAGCGACCGCAAAGACGCCAUCGUUGGAAGGCCUGGUGCGCGGAGUGGUCCAGCGGACAUCACCCAGCACAUUGUCUCAGGUGAAGAAUGCGCCCUUCAGCCCUAUGAGGCUCUUGUCAUCGAAACCGGGAGACUCCACUUGUCCAAGUCCCGCGUCCUGCAUGAGAAGCUGGAGCCCACGGAACUAGUCACCCAAUUUUGGAAAAUCACUGGCAGCUCAGGGAUGUCAGAGCUUGGUCCCAAACCACCAGCAUCCUUCUCGGUAGACACCGUUGUUAAUGCUUGGAUUCAACUGCACUUAUGCUAUCACUGUCCAAUUCAAGGUGGCUUAAUGCGAGCUUCUUGCCUUUAGAUCCCCAGCUCGACUCUAGGGGCAUUCAGUGCCUGGUCCUCAUUGCCCCGCCAAUGCAAAAUAUGUGGGAACUACUUCUUUAAUAAAUAAAAUUGAACAC
rnacentral:lncRNA from 1 species